AGAGUUUGAUCAUGGCUCAGGACGAACGCUGGCGGCGUGCCUAAUACAUGCAAGUUGAGCGCUGAAGGUUGGUACUUGUACCGACUGGAUGAGCAGCGAACGGGUGAGUAACGCGUGGGGAAUCUGCCUUUGAGCGGGGGACAACAUUUGGAAACGAAUGCUAAUACCGCAUAAAAACUUUAAACACAAGUUUUAAGUUUGAAAGAUGCAAUUGCAUCACUCAAAGAUGAUCCCGCGUUGUAUUAGCUAGUUGGUGAGGUAAAGGCUCACCAAGGCGAUGAUACAUAGCCGACCUGAGAGGGUGAUCGGCCACAUUGGGACUGAGACACGGCCCAAACUCCUACGGGAGGCAGCAGUAGGGAAUCUUCGGCAAUGGACGAAAGUCUGACCGAGCAACGCCGCGUGAGUGAAGAAGGUUUUCGGAUCGUAAAACUCUGUUGGUAGAGAAGAACGUUGGUGAGAGUGGAAAGCUCAUCAAGUGACGGUAACUACCCAGAAAGGGACGGCUAACUACGUGCCAGCAGCCGCGGUAAUACGUAGGUCCCGAGCGUUGUCCGGAUUUAUUGGGCGUAAAGCGAGCGCAGGUGGUUUAUUAAGUCUGGUGUAAAAGGCAGUGGCUCAACCAUUGUAUGCAUUGGAAACUGGUAGACUUGAGUGCAGGAGAGGAGAGUGGAAUUCCAUGUGUAGCGGUGAAAUGCGUAGAUAUAUGGAGGAACACCGGUGGCGAAAGCGGCUCUCUGGCCUGUAACUGACACUGAGGCUCGAAAGCGUGGGGAGCAAACAGGAUUAGAUACCCUGGUAGUCCACGCCGUAAACGAUGAGUGCUAGAUGUAGGGAGCUAUAAGUUCUCUGUAUCGCAGCUAACGCAAUAAGCACUCCGCCUGGGGAGUACGACCGCAAGGUUGAAACUCAAAGGAAUUGACGGGGGCCCGCACAAGCGGUGGAGCAUGUGGUUUAAUUCGAAACAACGCGAAGAACCUUACCAGGUCUUGACAUACUCGUGCUAUUCCUAGAGAUAGGAAGUUCCUUCGGGACACGGGAUACAGGUGGUGCAUGGUUGUCGUCAGCUCGUGUCGUGAGAUGUUGGGUUAAGUCCCGCAACGAGCGCAACCCCUAUUGUUAGUUGCCAUCAUUAAGUUGGGCACUCUAACGAGACUGCCGGUGAUAAACCGGAGGAAGGUGGGGAUGACGUCAAAUCAUCAUGCCCCUUAUGACCUGGGCUACACACGUGCUACAAUGGAUGGUACAACGAGUCGCGAGACAGUGAUGUUUAGCUAAUCUCUUAAAACCAUUCUCAGUUCGGAUUGUAGGCUGCAACUCGCCUACAUGAAGUCGGAAUCGCUAGUAAUCGCGGAUCAGCACGCCGCGGUGAAUACGUUCCCCGGCCUUGUACACACCGCCCGUCACACCACGGGAGUUGGGAGUACCCGAAGUAGGUUGCCUAACCGCAAGGAGGGCGCUUCCUAAGGUAAGACCGAUGACUGGGGUGAAGUCGUAACAAGGUAACCGUAUCGGAAGGUGCGGCUGGAUCACCUCCUUA
rnacentral:rRNA from 1 species